GAUGAACGCUGGCGGCGUGCCUAAUACAUGCAAGUCGAGCGAACGGACGAGAAGCUUGCUUCUCUGAUGUUAGCGGCGGACGGGUGAGUAACACGUGGAUAACCUACCCAUAAGACUGGGAUAACUUCGGGAAACCGGGGCUAAUACCGGAUAAUAUUUUGAACCGCAUGGUUCAAAAGUGAAAGACGGUCUUGCUGUCACUUAUGGAUGGAUCCGCGCUGCAUUAGCUAGUUGGUAAGGUAACGGCUUACCAAGGCAACGAUGCAUAGCCGACCUGAGAGGGUGAUCGGCCACACUGGAACUGAGACACGGUCCAGGCUCCUACGGGAGGCAGCAGUAGGGAAUCUUCCGCAAUGGGCGAAAGCCUGACGGAGCAACGCCGCGUGAGUGAUGAAGGUCUUCGGAUCGUAAAACUCUGUUAUUAGGGAAGAACAUAUGUGUAAGUAACUGUGCACAUCUUGACGGUACCUAAUCAGAAAGCCACGGCUAACUACGUGCCAGCAGCCGCGGUAAUACGUAGGUGGCAAGCGUUAUCCGGAAUUAUUGGGCGUAAAGCGCGCGUAGGCGGUUUUUUAAGUCUGAUGUGAAAGCCCACGGCUCAACCGUGGAGGGUCAUUGGAAACUGGAAAACUUGAGUGCAGAAGAGGAAAGUGGAAUUCCAUGUGUAGCGGUGAAAUGCGCAGAGAUAUGGAGGAACACCAGUGGCGAAGGCGACUUUCUGGUCUGUAACUGACGCUGAUGUGCGAAAGCGUGGGGAUCAAACAGGAUUAGAUACCCUGGUAGUCCACGCCGUAAACGAUGAGUGCUAAGUGUUAGGGGGUUUCCGCCCCUUAGUGCUGCAGCUAACGCAUUAAGCACUCCGCCUGGGGAGUACGACCGCAAGGUUGAAACUCAAAGGAAUUGACGGGGACCCGCACAAGCGGUGGAGCAUGUGGUUUAAUUCGAAGCAACGCGAAGAACCUUACCAAAUCUUGACAUCCUUUGACAACUCUAGAGAUAGAGCCUUCCCCUUCGGGGGACAAAGUGACAGGUGGUGCAUGGUUGUCGUCAGCUCGUGUCGUGAGAUGUUGGGUUAAGCCCCGCAACGAGCGCAACCCUUAAGCUUAGUUGCCAUCAUUAAGUUGGGCACUCUAAGUUGACUGCCGGUGACAAACCGGAGGAAGGUGGGGAUGACGUCAAAUCAUCAUGCCCCUUAUGAUUUGGGCUACACACGUGCUACAAUGGACAAUACAAAGGGCAGCGAAACCGCGAGGUCAAGCAAAUCCCAUAAAGUUGUUCUCAGUUCGGAUUGUAGUCUGCAACUCGACUACAUGAAGCUGGAAUCGCUAGUAAUCGUAGAUCAGCAUGCUACGGUGAAUACGUUCCCGGGUCU
rnacentral:rRNA from 1 species